GCAUAUCAAUAAGCGGAGGAAAAGAAACCAACAGGGAUUGCCCCAGUAACGGCGAAGUGAAGCGGCAAGAAGCUCAAAUUUGAAAGCUGGCCCCCUCGGGGUCCGCAUUGUAAUUUGCAGAAGGAUGCUUCGGGAGCGGCCCCCAUCUAAGUGCCCUGGAACGGGCCGUCAUAGAGGGUGAGAAUCCCGUAUGGGAUGGGGUGCCCGCGCCCGUGUGAAGCUCCUUCGACGAGUCGAGUUGUUUGGGAAUGCAGCUCUAAAUGGGUGGUAAAUUUCAUCUAAAGCUAAAUAUUGGCCGGAGACCGAUAGCGCACAAGUAGAGUGAUCGAAAGAUGAAAAGCACUUUGAAAAGAGAGUUAAACAGCACGUGAAAUUGUUGAAAGGGAAGCGCUUGCGACCAGACUCGCCCGCGGGGUUCAGCCGGCAUUCGUGCCGGUGUACUUCUCCGCGGGCGGGCCAGCGUCGGUUUGGGCGGCCGGUCAAAGGCCCCUGGAAUGUAACGCCUCUCGGGGCGUCUUAUAGCCAGGGGUGCCAUGCGGCCUGCCCGGACCGAGGAACGCGCUUCGGCUCGGACGCUGGCAUAAUGGUCGUAAGCGACCCGUCUUGAAACACGGACCAAGGAGUCUAACAUCUACGCGAGUGUUCGGGUGUCAAACCCGUGCGCGCAGUGAAAGCGAACGGAGGUGGGAACCCUUUGGGUGCACCAUCGACCGAUCCUGAUGUCUUCGGAUGGAUUUGAGUAAGAGCGUAGCUGUUGGGACCCGAAAGAUGGUGAACUAUGCCUGAAUAGGGCGAAGCCAGAGGAAACUCUGGUGGAGGCUCGCAGCGGUUCUGACGUGCAAAUCGAUCGUCAAAUUUGGGUAUAGGGGGCGAAAGACUAAUCGAACCAUCUAGUAGCUGGUUCUGC
rnacentral:rRNA from 1 species